UCACGCCUCGCUUCAAAUUUGUUGUGCUCCCAGUCACAGGGAAUAGCAUUGCCAACUCUAACAUGGGUCAUGCAUGACCCUGGGGUGCCGAUCCCUGAACUCUUUCUGGUCUUUCUCGCAGGUGGGGCACAGCGCUGUGCUUGGGAAGAUGUUUUCCUUUGAAAUAAGGCUGAGCUACAAGGAAAAAUGCCUGCACAAGAGCUUUGCAGAAUAUAAGCUCAGGGCUUGCAGAGUUUGUCACCACAUGAGAAGAAGGGUCACAGAUGCAUGGUAACAAACACAGGCUCCCUCCUCACCUGCUGACCAGAAGGACUCGGCAAUAGCUUCAAACCGUAAGUAAUGAUAUGUUCCUGCAGUUGGCAAUGAAAUAAUCAGGAUGAAGCCCAAAGGUAUGGUUAAAACCAUGCAGCUCACACUGUAGUGAAAGGGAAGAAAACAAUUGGGUGUUUACUUACUGAGUUGUUAAUGAAGUGAUUUUGACUGUGACUAAUCAAAGCUCUUGAGGUGGGUGGUGUUUUGCCUGAAGAAGAGAGGGAGACUUCUUGUCUCUGCGCUUCGAAGGAGAGUAAGGAAGGAACUGCAGGAAGAUAAAACAUCUUCUGGCACUUGAAAUAUAUAAAAAUGUCCGUAAAGGAUGAUCUCUUUGAGUUUCUGGCAUUCAGAUCUCCACACAGACAUGAUCAACUAUUGAUGGAUGGUGCUAGGAGGGUGAGGAGGUUAAUGUAUGCUGACUCCAGAAUGGUCUGAGCCAGGUGCUGUGCUGGAGUCUGAAGGGAAGUGAGCAACUGUGGAUCUCCACCCAUAUUAUCAAAGACAUGGUCACACAACUAGGCAAGAUUUGUGUCACCAUGUAACCCUUUCCUUU
rnacentral:lncRNA from 1 species